UCCGGUUUGGCACCGGCAGUCUCCCUAGAGUGCCCGGCAUGACCCGCUGGUAACUAGGGACGGGGGUUGCGCUCGUUGCGGGACUUAACCCAACAUCUCACGACACGAGCUGACGACAGCCAUGCAGCACCUGUGCACGGGUCCCGAAGGAGGCCCUCGGUUUCUCGAGGGUUGCCCGUGCAUGUCAAGCCCAGGUAAGGUUCUUCGCGUUGCGUCGAAUUAAACCACAUGCUCCACCGCUUGUGCGGGCCCCCGUCAAUUCCUUUGAGUUUCAGCCUUGCGGCCGUACUCCCCAGGCGGGGCACUUAAUGCGUUAGCGCCGGCACCCGGGGGGUCGCUCCCCCAAGCACCUAGUGCCCAUCGUUUACGGCGUGGACUAC
rnacentral:misc_RNA from 1 species